GGUCGAGUGGUGUAGUUAGUUAUCACGUCAGUCUAGCACACUGAAGGUCUCCGGAUCGAACCCAGGCUUGAUCA
rnacentral:tRNA from 1 species